rnacentral:tRNA from 1 species
CCAGCCAUAGCUCAGUUGGUAGAGCGGAGGACUGUAGAGUGUGAGCUGAUAUCCUUAGGUCGCUGGUUCGAAUCCGGCUGGCUGGA